rnacentral:tRNA from 1 species
GUCUCGAUGGUGUAACGGAUAGCACGAGAGUUUCCGAAGCUCUUGGUCCUGGUUCAAAUCCGGGUCGGGACA